CAGCAGCGCGGUAAUUCCAGCUCCAAUAGCGUAUAUUAAAGUUGUUGCAGUUAAAAGCUCGUAGUUGAAUUUCGGGGUUAGUAGGUUGGUCGUGCCACUGGUACGUACUGGUCUCACUGACUCCUCCUCCUGAUGAACUGUAAUGCCAUUAAUUUGGUGUUGCGGGGAAACUGGACUGUUACUUUGAAAAAUUAGAGUGUUUAAAGCAAGCUAACGCUUGAAUACAUUAGCAUGGAAUAAUGAAAUAGGACGUUUGAUUCUAUUUUGUUGGUUUCUAGGAUUGACGUAAUGAUUAAUAGGGAUAGUUGGGGGCAUUAGUAUUCAAUUGUCAGAGGUGAAAUUCUUGGAUUUAUUGAAGACUAACUACUGCGAAAGCAUUUGCCAAGGAUGUUUUCAUUAAUCAAGAACGAAAGUUAGGGGGAUCGAAGACGAUCAGAUACCGUCGUAGUCUUAACCAUAAACUAUGCCGACUAGGGAUCGGAUGAUGUUAAUUUUUUAAUGACUCAUUCGGCGCCUUACG
rnacentral:rRNA from 1 species